CUUUAUCAGAAUAUUUUGGUUCUAAAAAUAAAAUAAAACAAAAUGAAAUGAGAAAGUUAUUCCUUUUCACCUCCUUUUGUUUUCGAAUAACACCUGCCAUAUUUAGUACUAUACAGUUUCGUUCUGGAAAUCGGUGUACCAGUCAUCAACACGAUUUAUCUAAAAUUUCCAUGAUUCAACAGUGAGUGGAAAAGUGUCAAUAAUCAUCUCCAUUUCAACACAGGCAAUCUUAUUUUUUAAAUAAAAGCUGGUGUGAUUCCUUAGAGGGCACAUGGUAGUUGUCAUCUAAGUAACGCUGGGGUUAGAAAUGAGAUCAUGAAAAGAAUAGGAAAAGUGACUGAGGGCUGGGUGUUCAUGGCGGACAUAUUUGUUUGAAUUCCGGAUCUGUGAUUGGUCAGAGCAAACUCCAUCAAGCGAGCAAGAUGGGCAAAUGUUAUUUGAGGAAAGGUGACAUUUCAGCACGAGACAAAAGUUCGAUUGUAAACCUUUAUGUAAGUGAAACGGAUUGUAAAACAACUAGAUGAGAGCAAGGAGCCCACGGAAAGGAAAUAAUAACAAUAGAGUUGUUUUAAUAUUUUAUUGUGUCGAGUAGAAAACAAAAAUGGAGAAAAGUUCCCCAAAGUAAGCUCAGGGGUCGUCAAACCGUUGACGAUAUUUUACGAUGUUAAUUCUCCCACCCGAAUUGUGUCCAGUAUUUAAACUACAAAUUGUGAGAGAUGUUUUAGAAGACAAACCAAGAAAGGUGAUGUCUGCAAACUGAAUAUUUCAAAUCAGCAAUUACAAAUUGGCCUCUGUUGUUUAUCUUUUGCUUUUAAAAAUUGAAGAGACUAUAAAAAUGCCGGAAACAACGGAUGCUACUCGACUUUCUCAGUGUCUUACAAUAUGCAAGUUUUGCCCUACUUGUUGCAUAACCAGGAUAUGCAUUUGUGGCCGAUGUACAACUUUUUUUUUGUAAAUUUAGGUAAUCCAAAUCUUUAUACGUGGAAAAGUAUGUUUUAUUCUCCCGAUUCACUCGAAUGACAAACGUGUUUUUAUGUUUCUAAUGGCAAAUAUUCAUACAGAUUCUCUGUUGAGUCAA